rnacentral:rRNA from 1 species
UACGGGGGGAGCAAGCGUUGUUCGGAUUUACUGGGCGUAAAGGGCGCGUAGGCGGUCGUGACAAGUCACUUGUGAAAUCUCCGGGCUUAACUCGGAACGGUCAAGUGAUACUGUCGGACUAGAGUACAGAAGGGGCAACUGGAAUUCUCGGUGUAGCGGUGAAAUGCGUAGAUAUCGAGAGGAACACCUGCGGCGAAGGCGGGUUGCUGGGCUGAUACUGACGCUGCGGCGCGAAAGCCAGGGGAGCGAACGGG